CCUACGGGGGGCAGCAGUGAGGAAUAUUGGUCAAUGGGCGCGAGCCUGAACCAGCCAAGUCGCGUGAAGGAUGACUGCCCUACGGGUUGUAAACUUCUUUUAUAAAGGAAUAAAGUGAGGCACGUGUGCCCUUUUGUAUGUACUUUAUGAAUAAGGAUUGGCUAACCCCGUGCCAGCAGCCGCGGUAAUACGGAGGAUCCGGGCGUUAACCGGGUUUGUUGGGUUUAAAGGGAGCGUAGGUGGGUUUGUUAGUCAGUUGUGAAAGUUUGCGGCUUCACCGUAAAAUUGCAAUUGAUACUGGCAGUCUUGAGUGCAGGUGAGGUAGGCGGAAUUCGUGGUGUAGCGGUGAAAUGCUUAGAUAUCACGCAGAACUCCGAUUGCGAAGGCAGCUUACUAAACUGCAACUGACAUUGAUGCUCGAAAGUGUGGGUAUCAAACAGGAUUAGAUACCCGAGUAGUC
rnacentral:rRNA from 1 species